ACGUGCGGUUAAAAUACAAAAAUGAAAUGUCAUUGUUCAUAUCAAUAAGACCUAGAUGUCUAGUGUAUAGUUGAUAUUCGUAAAGAAAGUCAAAUAAGAUGCUUUUGCCGCAGAAUAUGUGCACAGUGUUUAUAUUGUCUUGUACAUAUAUGAUUGUGAAUAUAAUUACAGUUACAGUUCUUCCUGGAUCUGCUGCAACGACAACAACUAUAAUAACUGUCAAUAAUUUUACGAUAAAACCAACAACUGCAGCUAAUGAAACAACUUCUCCUGCUGAACCAACAACGGCAACUACCCAUGAGACAACA